rnacentral:ncRNA from 1 species
CUGUGAUGUGUGUCACAUAAAAAUAAUGAUAUUUACAGGAGCAACCCAUGAAACUGAUCAAUAAAGUUAUCGCUAUGUUCGAAAAAAUGAGCGUAUCAUUCGGUACUAUCAACGGCUAAUAAUCCGUAAUAUUUCAUAAUAUUCUGAUAAGGGUCGAAAUAUAGUUAAUAACACCAUAGCCAGUGAGAGCUAAAGGUGAAAUGACAGCAUGUAAUGCGAUUAUCUAUUUAUCGAGUGCCAUAUUAUUAGAUAAUAUUAAAUCUUAUAAUUUCUCUUAACUCAGAAUAUUUACUCUG